AUAUAUAUAUAUAUAUAUAUAUAUAUGUAGUUAAAGAUCAGAGGACAUAUUUUGAGAAUAAAUUAAUAUUAAUUUUAUUUGCACUUUUCUGUUUAGACAUUCAAUUUGUCCCAUCGUUCUGUAAAGUUGCAGUUUAAGAUGUUCUGACCAAAUCUUCUAGAAUCCUGCAGUAAAUGUUGCCUUUACGCUCCACAUGAUAAUGAGUUCUAAUGUGAGUUUAUUUGCAGGCCCUGACCUUCUAUAUGAGCUAAGACAACAGAGGGUGACUGUGUGCUGGAAGCUGCAGAGGCUGUCUUGCGGUUUGGUAGAUGUGGAGCCAAGAGAAAACCAAAGGUUCACUGUUAGCUUAACUUAUAAUAAUUAAAUAUUAAUCUGCUGCAAUUUUGAAUUUCUGAACUAAUUUCCUCAGAAAGCCUCUGCUGCUUCCACACAAACCAAAGUAAAUCAUAAUAAAUAUAAAUAAAUGCAAUAAUUUAAUAAGCCGUUUACAUUUAUACAAGUCAGCAGGUCAAACAGACCAGUGCCAACAACAAGGACUUCACACACACAACUUCCUGGAAGGCUCUGUACCGACUGGGGAGAGCUGAUGGAUCAACAGAGCCAUCUGUUGCUCCCACGUAAAACAGCAUGCAUAAAACCAAUCUCUUUGUUGGGCACUUUUUGCCCGGCACAUUCAGCGGCACACACCAACACUUCACAUCCAACAUUGAACUUGCAUUUUUCGAAGGGCUAAAAAUCACAUUCACAGUUCAGGAAACUGAGGAAGAAAUGCUGGAGCUCCUCUGGAGGCUGACUUCCAGAACCACAGAGUGACCAGAUCACAGAGGCUUCCAGGUGAGACAGGGCAUGUGAAACACCUGAAACACCUGGAACACCUGGAGAUGCAUGGCUCAAGUUGUAGUUUUUUGCAACUUGAAGCUGCAUUAAUCAGCAUAAUAUGGUUUUGGAACUGUGAGAUGAAAAUCACAGUAGAUGUCAUUGUUAUAGAGCUUUAGCUCUACGUAUUAAUCUCACUAAGAACUCUAAUGGAUAAACAUCUUGUCAUGACUUUCAUGCACAUAUAUUAUGACGCAGAAUGCAGAUUAAUUAUGAUCUAGGAGAAUAACAUAAAUACUCUAAUAUUGCAUAUUUGUUUUAUAGAAAGGAUGGCUGGAGCCUUUAGCGACAUUACCAUUUUCAAAAACUUUAAAAUCUAUCAACAAGAAAAUGUUCCCAAUAAGUCAUAAAUAUCACAUCUUCGUUCUCUCUGCAUGGAAAAAUGAAAACAAAUCAAAUCAGAUGGAAAACUGGGACUUCUUUAGCCUAAAACUGCUGGUAGAAUCAGAAUAAUCUAGAAGAACUCGACAAAUGAAUUGGGCCUGAUGUGUCACACGCUUACAAAUUAAUACAUCUUUUAUUGCAGCAGCAUAAUCUCACACAUACAAAUGUAGAAAAAUCAACCCUUUAAUCGGUGCAUUUAUUCAGUCACUUAAGAAAUAAUGGUCUAAAUUACAAAUGGUUGUUAUGGUAACUGCUGAUAAUAUUUUUAAAUGAACACAACUUAAGCUUCUUCUUUUUUAAAAAAUCAUAUGUAACCUUUUAAGUUGACCAGAGUUUCUGGGAACUUGUAGUUAGUAAUUCAGGACUUCCUGUUUCCCUGGGGAAUACAUAUGAUGUGACACAGAGGUCCAUUUCUUUUGAGGAGCCAUAUGGUCACCACAAACAGUGAGCAGGAUGAAGAUGGAGGUAGAAACAAGUCAAAAGCUCUAUAACGACCAUUAGAUUGCUGUCUAAUGGUUGCAAUGGGCAUCACUAACUAGUGAUGCCCUACCAUCACUAACUAACAUGUAGAGUUUGCUGAACUCUGCAAAGACUUUAAGCAGGACUGAGCUUUGGACAAAUGAGGCCGAGCUUCUCAGGAACAACACUUUGCUAUAAAAUUAAUCACAUUCCAGCUGUUAAACAUGGUGGAGGACCUGUGAUGUCCUGGGUCCAUUUGUAGUCCAGAGCCUAGAAACUGAGUGCAUGACAUCAUGAGCUAACAUUUGAAAUUAAAAAAUGUGAUAAUGUGUACCUGAAGAA